rnacentral:rRNA from 1 species
AUUGAACGCUGGCGGCAUGCCUUACACAUGCAAGUCGAACGGCAGCGCGGACUUCGGUCUGGCGGCGAGUGGCGAACGGGUGAGUAAUACAUCGGAACGUACCCUGUUGUGGGGGAUAACUAGUCGAAAGAUUAGUUAAUACCGCAUACGACCUGAGGGUGAAAGUGGGGGACCGCAAGGCCUCACGCAGCAGGAGCGGCCGAUGUCUGAUUAGCUAGUUGGUGGGGUAAAGGCCCACCAAGGCGACGAUCAGUAGCUGGUCUGAGAGGACGAUCAGCCACACUGGGACUGAGACACGGCCCAGACUCCUACGGGAGGCAGCAGUGGGGAAUUUUGGACAAUGGGGGCAACCCUGAUCCAGCAAUGCCGCGUGUGUGAAGAAGGCCUUCGGGUUGUAAAGCACUUUUGUCCGGAAAGAAAUCGCGCUGGUUAAUACCUGGCGUGGAUGACGGUACCGGAAGAAUAAGCACCGGCUAACUACGUG